rnacentral:rRNA from 1 species
AUUGAACGCUGGCGGCAGGCCUAACACAUGCAAGUCGAGCGAGAGGCGGACGGGUGAGUAAUGUAUGGGGAUCUGCCCGAUCGAGGGGGAUAACUACUGGAAACGGUGGCUAAUACCGCAUACUCUCGGAUGAGCCCAUAUGGGAUUAGCUAGUAGGUGGGGUAAAGGCUCACCUAGGCGACGAUGCCUAGCGGGCCUGAGAGGCUUAUCGGCCACACUGGGACUGAGACACGGCCCAGACUCCUACGGGAGGCAGCAGUGGGGAAUAUUGGGCAAUGGGCGCAAGCCUGAUGCAGCCAUGCCGCGUGUGUGAAGAAGGCCUUCGGAUUGUAAAGUACUGUCGGCAGGGAGGCGUUACCCGCAGAGGAAGCACCGGCUAACUACGUGCCAGCAGCCGCGGUAAUAC